rnacentral:rRNA from 1 species
GACGAACGCUGGCGGCGUGCUUAACACAUGCAAGUCGAACGGAAAGGCCCUGCUUUUGUGGGGUGCUCGAGUGGCGAACGGGUGAGUAACACGUGAGUAACCUGCCCUUGACUUUGGGAUAACUUCAGGAAACUGGGGCUAAUACCGGAUAGGAGCUCCUGCUGCAUGGUGGGGGUUGGAAAGUUUCGGCGGUUGGGGAUGGACUCGCGGCUUAUCAGCUUGUUGGUGGGGUAGGGGCUUACCAAGGCUUUGACGGGUAGCCGGCCUGAGAGGGUGACCGGCCACAUUGGGACUGAGAUACGGCCCAGACUCCUACGGGAGGCAGUAGUGGGGAAUAUUGCACAAUGGGCGGAAGCCUGAUGCAGCAACGCCGCGUGCGGGAUGACGGCCUUCGGGUUGUAAACCGCUUUCGCCUGUGACGAAGCGUGAGUGACGGUAAUGGGUAAAGAAGCACCGGCUAACUACGUG